GAUGAACGCUGGCGGCGUGCCUAAUACAUGCAAGUCGAGCGAACGGACUAGAAGCUUGCUUCUCUGAUGUUAGCGGCGGACGGGUGAGUAACACGUGGAUAACCUACCUAUAAGACUGGGAUAACUUCGGGAAACCGUAGCUAAUACCGGAUAAUAUUUUGAACCGCAUGGUUCAAAAGUGAAAGACGGUCUUGCUGUCACUUAUAGAUGGAUCCGCGCUGCAUUAGCUAGUUGGUAAGGUAACGGCUUACUAAGGCAACGAUGCAUAGCCGACCUGAGAGGGUGAUCGGCCACACUGGAACUGAGACACGGUCCAGACUCCUACGGGAGGCAGCAGUAGGGAAUCUUCCGCAAUGGGCGAAAGCCUGACGGAGCAACGCCGCGUGAGUGAUGAAGGUCUUCGGAUCGUAAAACUCUGUUAUUAGGGAAGAACAUAUGUGUAAGUAACUGUGCACAUCUUGACGGUACCUAAUCAGAAAGCCACGGCUAACUACGUG
rnacentral:rRNA from 1 species